AGACAAUGUUACGACCCCCGGUCUUGUCUGUGUUCUGUGUGUGUGAUAACCCUCCUCAGGUGGAGCUAAUUGUCUUCAUUACUCAUCCGCCCUCCCGUGAUCUCCUACAGCUGGUUCCUGUUUUCCCAUCCUCCAAUCGCAUCGUCCCAUCAGCUGUAUUUAUGUGUUUCUGGUUGUUCAGUCCAGAGAUCUCUCAGGCAGGGUGUAAGGUUGUGUUUGGGGUGCUCUUGUGAAAUUGGUUGUACAUGGUGGAGUGUUUUUGGAGUAUUGAAAGUAUUAAUCAUUUGUAUUUCGUGUGUCCUUCCCAGGGAGAACGGAAAGCACUUGGGAGUGUUAGGAAAGACGCCCUGGGCAUACAUCACCCGUAGGGAUAUCUCCUGUUAUACACACCAGGUUAGAUCUGAGCGAUCCACCCCCUGUAUUUUUGGUUAGGGCGCCUUGCUCGAGCGCCAGAGUAAAUAAGGGUUUUGUGUAGGACGUUGGGACAGGUAAGGGGUGGGGUUUUGCUAAUUUCUUUGUUUUGGAUCAGCUCAGCCGUCAUCCCAUUCACAACCCCCACACCGUCCACCGACCGUGUGGACGAGGUACCAAAUGGCUCCUCAUCACCCACACCAGUCAAUGGUUAGUCAGGGUCCAAGCAGCGGGGUGCACAGAUCCCGGACGAGCCCCCAUUUGUUACGCCCGUACAGCACCCCGUGAGGGGAGGGGAACAUACACCGCGCUGCCCAGAACCCCAGACGGCCAGAGACCGGGUGUGGGCGCAAGUAAUCAUACCAACACCGAUGGGUUUGGUUUAAACAGGCUAGCACGUGCCAGUAUUUUAAUAAUGAUAAUAAUAAUAAUAAACCAUAGAGGGAAAUGGGAGGACGGCUGAGCUGAUCCAAAACAAAGAAAUUAGCAAAACCCCACCCCUUACCUGUCCCAACGUCCUACACAAAACCCUUAUUUACUCUGGCGCUCGAGCAAGGCGCCCUAACCAAAAAUACAGGGGGUGGAUCGCUCAGAUCUAACCUGGUGUGUAUAACAGGAGAUAUCCCUACGGGUGAUGUAUGCCCAGGGCGUCUUUCCUAACACUCCCAAGUGCUUUCCGUUCUCCCUGGGAAGGACACACGAAAUACAAAUGAUUAAUACUUUCAAUACUCCAAAAACACUCCACCAUGUACAACCAAUUUCACAAGAGCACCCCAAACACAACCUUACACCCUGCCUGAGAGAUCUCUGGACUGAACAACCAGAAACACAUAAAUACAGCUGAUGGGACGAUGCGAUUGGAGGAUGGGAAAACAGGAACCAGCUGUAGGAGAUCACGGGAGGGCGGAUGAGUAAUGAAGACAAUUAGCUCCACCUGAGGAGGGUUAUCACACACACAGAACACAGACAAGACCGGGGGUCGUAACAGACAACAA
ensembl:lncRNA